rnacentral:rRNA from 1 species
ACAUGGUUGAUAGGCCGGGAGUGGAAGUGCAGCAAUGCAUGGAGCGGACCGGUACUAAUAGGCCGAGGACUUAUCUUACAA